UUGAAACAUUCCAGCAGUUUUUACAGUACUCAAAUUUUAGUAAAAAGGCUAUUAAUAAUAUCUCAGCAAUAAAUUCUUUGUAUAUAAAUAAAUCAAAAGUGAUUCUCCGCCAUAAAUUUUCAAAGGUAAUUAACCGUUCAUUUAAGGACUCUUUUGAAACUUCCAAAUUAUUUACAGCUGCAAUUAGUCUAUAUUAUUAUACAAUCCUUAGCAAGAGAGACUAGCCUUGCCUUCUCUCAACAAAUACUUGGCCUCCCUUUAAAAGAUAUCAUGAGUCGGAUUCCGCGAUUUCAUAAUCUACUUGUAUAGUUAGAGAGCAACCCAUGCAUGGGACGACACUUCUGUUAUUUUCCAGGUCGUCUUCCGUGACAACAUAUCCUCCUAAAUCGCCGCAUCGGCAAGGAUAAUAAUAGGAGCCGUUGUCGAGUUCUUCAAAUUCACUUAGAUCAACGAUAGAGUAGUAAUGCGAGCUUUCUGUUUAGAUUAAUAAAAAAACCUUCAAAACAAAAUUACCCUCUUCUUGUUUUAUUUGAUAUUGCUGACGAUCUUUUUCACUUGAAAGGACUUGAUAUGCUUCUUUCACUUGAUCAAUAGUAUACACCACAGAGGGCUUUUCUUUACACUUAUCCGGGUGAAACAGUAGUAACGCUUUUCUAUAAGCUUCUUUUAUUUCAUCGUCUGUGUAAGUUUUUCCAUCUUUGAGGUUUAGAACCGAAUAGUGGUUCAUGAGGAUACAGCACACUUAUGUCGUUCUGCUGGUAUAUGCAUAUACAUAGUUAGGGUGCCCAAUUGAUUUGUCAUUACUUUGAUGUAGGAGAGCAAUGAUGAAACAAUAUGUGCUCAAAUGUUUAAUUAAAGCUACAUCUUUAAAAAUUUUUAAAGAAUUAUUGAGGUUAGGCGCAUUGCAUUUGUUAAUAACUCAUUAUUUAACUCACUUCUUUUUCUGAAUUAUUCAAUAUUUAACCGAC